GUGGGGAAUAUUGCACAAUGGGGGAAACCCUGAUGCAGCAACGCCACGUGUGGGAAGAAGCAUUUCGGUGUGUAAACCACUGUCAUGAGGGAAUAAGGCCCGCCUUCGGACGGGAUUGAAUGUACCUUGAGAGGAAGCACCGGCAAACUUCGUGCCAGCAGCCGCGGUAAUACGAGGGGUGCAAGCGUUGUUCGGAAUUACUGGGCGUAAAGGGAGCGUAGGCGGAGAUUCAAGCGGAUUGUACAAUCCCGGGGCCCAACCCCGGUUCUGCAGUCCGAACUGGAUCUCUUGGAUAGUUCAGGGGCAGGCGGAAUUCCUGGUGUAGCGGUGGAAUGCGUAGAGAUCAGGAAGAACACCGAUGGCGAAGGCAGCCUGCUGGGGACUUAUCGACGCUGAGGCUCGAAAGUGCGGGUAGCAAACAGG
rnacentral:rRNA from 1 species